AAAUUGAAGAGUUUGAUCAUGGCUCAGAUUGAAUGCUGGCGGCAGGCCUAACACAUGCAAGUCGAACGGUAACAGGAAACAGCUUGCUGUUUCGCUGACGAGUGGCGGACGGGUGAGUAAUGUCUGGGAAACUGCCUGAUGGAGGGGGAUAACUACUGGAAACGGUAGCUAAUACCGCAUAACGUCGCAAGACCAAAGAGGGGGACCUUCGGGCCUCUUGCCAUCGGAUGUGCCCAGAUGGGAUUAGCUAGUAGGUGGGGUAACGGCUCACC
rnacentral:rRNA from 1 species